GCCUGGGUGGAUCAGUGGUUAAGCAUGUGACUUUGGCUCACAUCAUGAUCUCACAAUGCGUGGGUUUGAGCCCCACAUCGGGCU
rnacentral:tRNA from 1 species